CGCAAAGCUUCAUUACACUGAGAUUAACGACGAACACACUGAAGAAUAAAAAAUGGGAGCUACUUGUGGCAAAAAAAGAAAUUCAGACAGAAACCAACAAGGAAAAGAGUUUGCUUUGGCAAGGUUUGUUCUGAGACUGAGAUAUAUAUUUAAUAAGAACAGAGUUGUACCCUUCAAUGAACCAGGAUCACGUUCUGUGUCAAGCGUUAUAAGCAACACGGCAAUUAUUCCAAGAAAUAAUAAGAAUAAGAGCAGACAUCUCUCCGCGGAAGAAAGAAAUUGCCAAACGGAACUUAAC
rnacentral:lncRNA from 1 species